AUGUAUGAUUUAUCAGAAUUGUGUGCGCUGCCAUAACGUCGUAUUUCGUGUUAAAUCUCUAUCUUGAUAGGUUCGUAUUUGUGUCAUAAUUGAAUUUUUAUUUUCAUUGAUAAUGUAUGGAACGACGUAAUACGUAAGAAACAUGUGUUCAACCUCAUUUGAUAAUACGGAAAUAAAUGAACGCGUUCGAUCGAAUACGUUUUACGAGUAAUCGUAAUGUUCGUUUGUUGUUUUCAAUAUGAAAAAACAUAAACUUCCGAAAAAUUGGGUUGUUGUCAGUUCUAAGAGUCAUCCAGAUAGAGUUUAUUAUUUCAAUAUUAGAACCAGUGAAUCCUCUUGGAAGGAACCUACAACGGAUGGAACGAAACAGGUUUUUAUUAAUGAUGUACAAAAACAAAAAAAAAGGAAAACAAGCGAAGUGAGUUCUAAUGAAUCAAGGGCAACUUCUGAUAUUGAAGAAGAUAAUAACAAAGAAGGUAUUGUACGAAGGAAGUUAGUAGCCAAACGACAUUCUAAAUCUGCACAAGAAUUUGAUACAUUACAAAUGGCGGACAUUAAAAAGAAAAUGCAACAGAAGAAGAUCAAAAGUCCUUCGAAAAGUAAUUCGUCUACCAAUUCAUGCAAACAAAUUGAUUCUUCUAUCGAAUUGUACAAAAGUGAAGAGGAUUCAAAAUUACAGAUAAUGACGCCACAGAUGAGAGUUAUUUAUGAAAAGAUACAGAAAAAAAAUAUGAACAGGAAGCAGACACAGUCGUUUCAAGAUGUUAAACGCACUGAAGUAGUUGAAAAUGUUAAACAUAGAGUAAAAGUAGAUAAGAGAAGAAAACGUAAAAGAGAGGGCGUGGUAAAAUCUUCAAGCUCGAAUCAAGACACAUCUACUUGUUCCAGUAGUCAUGAAAAUAAUUCUACGAAAAGUAAUAUUAGGAGUCCUCCGAUCGCAGAUAUCGUCGAAACUAAAUCGGAGAGGUCAAUUGUGAUAAAAAAUAUAUUGCAAAAGAAAAAUAAUUUUCAGUACAAAUCUAAGGAGAGAGUAAUAGAAAAUAAAGAAUAUAAUAGUAAUGUAAAUAAGAAAGGUGGAAGCAUUAUUUUAAAAAAGAAUUUGGCUAAAGAACGCAUGGAUAAAUUAAGAAAAACAUUGAAUCUACAAAUGAAAGAUCAAAAGAGUAAUGAUAAGUCAUCGCAAAGCAGUGAUGGUUCACUGCUCACGAUUAUAAAAGAUAACGAAAUUUCGGAUAUUUAUAAAACCAGUGAUAUGAGGUAUAAAAAUUUACGUAAUAGGCUUUUACGUAAUAAAGUAAUCUCUCAUGAAGAUCAAUUGCUGGCGUCAGUAAAAUCUAAUAUGCAAAAUCAAUCAUUAAAUACGUCGGGAGAAAAUCCUGCAAAUAAGUCUAAUGAUUCAUCUCUUUAUGAAGAAAUGGAUUGGGAGCCAAUGGAAGAUGAAAAGAUAACAUUCGAGGUACAAGCCGCUAGGAUAAAAUUAUGCGUUGAAAAUGCUAGGAAUGAAACAUUACCAAUGGAAGGAAAUAUUUUACAAUUUCCAUCAUUACCGAUUCAAGAAGAAAAGAAAACUUUAUACAUUGUUGUAGAUACAAACGUGUUCCUAUCGAAUUUAGAUGCAAUCGUAAAAGCUAUGACUACAGAAUUCGCAAAAUAUGACAAGCCAAUUCUUGUAAUACCAUGGACCGUUAUACGAGAAUUGGAUUAUUUAAAAGACGACAAAUUUGGAACAAAGUCAGUACAUUUACGUAUGAAAGCCAGAAAAGCUAUAAAUUUUCUCAAUAAUCAUUUAUCCAUUAAUGAUCCACGUAUAGUCGGUCAAACUUUAGAGGACGUAAGAAACAACAAAGAAAAAUUUGCCAUUGAAUGUCCGGACGACGAGAUUCUACAAACUUGUUUACAAAUUCGAAACGCAGGAAGAACUGUGGCUUUAUUAUCGUAUGAUAAAAACCUUUGCAACAAAGCAAUGAUAUACGACAUAGUAGCACUCGGAAGAGACGAUCCUCUUGAAAAAAUAGAUUAUAUUUUUUCGACUAACAAUAAGAACUUAUCAUUUCACGAUAUUUACCUUCAAAAGAUGCAAGGUGAAGGCUCACAAAUUCUUUCAGCUUUUCAAGAGGAAUUACGUUAUUCGAACGAAUUAUUUGAAGAGGUGGAAUCUACAAUAAAAGAAUUUCUUUCAGUCAUAGUAAGUAAAGAAAUGAAGAAUUUAUUUGGUGAAAAUUGGGAAAAAUAUACUAUCGUAAAGCCACCUUGGACAGUUUUGUGCGUUUUAAAAUGUGCUAUAAAACAUUGGAUAGCUGCUAUAAGCGAAGCGUUUGACAAGCAAGCAGAACAGCUUCUCAAAGAACUUUUGGAAAUAUUUAGAACGAUGCCAAGUGGACGUAAAUUGAAGGACGUUGCACAUUUACUAGAGAAGUGUAGUGACCUGAUUCAAAUGGUCAAUGUUGAUAAAUAUUUUGACCUUAUGAAUCGUGCAUCAAGUUCCAUUGAAGAUAUUAAAAAGAGAUGUCAAAAUUAUGAGAACGAGAUACGUGAGAAAAAAAUACAAGAAGAAAUUGGAAUGGAAAAUGAUGUAGUUGAACAAAAACGUAGAGCAGAAAAUGCUUUUAAUUAUUUCAAUUAUAUCUAUUCAUAUGCACGUGAUAUCGGUGGAAUGGCUGCAAGUAUCGUGAACAUGCCAUGUACUUUUUGUUACGAAAUGCCAAAUCCAGAACCCUCGGUUGAAUAUGUGAAAAAAAUACAACCAGAAAUUGCACAAAACGUAAAUCAUUUGUUACGUAUUUUGAGCAAAGCUUUAGAAGAAAUGAAAGAUACUUCGAUGAAUCAUAAAACAUUGAUUGAUCUUUAUCACAUAUUAACAAAUUUCUUACCUGAAGAAACAACAAUGAUCACUACGGAUUUGUCUCCACUCGAUGUGUAUUGUUGCUUAAAAGAAAAGGAAGACGUUUUGAAAAUGGGAAUAAGACAGCUUCAAGAACUCUGCACACAUUUUUGCAGAUUGGCAAGUUACCGAUGUAUAUGAGUCAUUGUCGAUAUAUUCGCAGUCGUGUUGUAUUAUAUAUUUAAAAUAUUUGUCAUAUAUGGAAAUAAGAAAAAAAAAAAAAAAAAAUUGCUAUUAUUAAAUUCUUUAAAAUAUAAUACAAAACGAACAAUAAUUCGAUUGACGCAUACAUAACAGAAAAUAAUGACUGUGAUACUAAGGUGGUUGUAACCAAUUGUCUUUAGCAUAAGCCACCUGUUUAGUUUCAAUAACGUGAAAAGUAUAAG